UCUCUCUCUCUCUCUCUCUCUCUCUCUCUCUCUCUAAUACGGACCAUAGGGGGGGUGUGGUCUGGAUAUCUAUGUAAAUCUAUGUAAAUAUUCCCCCUGGUGAAGUUUACAUAGAUUUACAUAGAAUAGCAUUGAACAGAAGGUAUGCUGGGUUUGGUUAAGCUGUAUAGAGAGAGAAAAUGAGAGAUGGGAUGCCGUGAGGGAGUUUUAAGAGAGAAUAUAAUGUUAAAAAUGUAUACAGUAAUAAUUUUGACUUAGAUGGGAUGUGAAAUGAAUGCGGGAGAUAAGAGAACAGGGAGAUAAUUGAUAGUGAUGUUGUAUGGAGACGAGAUGAAAAGAUUGGAUGCUGUGAAGAUGCUGUUGGAAAAAAUAGUAACAAUUUUGACUUCGAUGGGAUGCUGAAUGAAUAUUGGAGAUGAGAGAACAAUUAAGGAGAUAAAUGACUACUGAUGCUGUAUGGGGACGUUCGAGAUGAAAUGCUAUGAGGGAAGAAGACUAAUAAUUUUGAAGGGACGGAAAAUGAAUGUUAAUUGGAGAGGAGAGAACAGGAAGAUGAAAUAGGGAUGCUGUGAAAAGAAAAACCGUAUUAAAUCAUUUCCUGUACGAGAUAUAUCCAGUAGCUUUAUAUGUAUGGCUGUGAUUUGGCUUUGUUUUAAUUAUUUCACCCACAGAAGAAGCUGAUAUAAGGGAAUAAGGGUAAAAUCAAUAAGACAGGAACUCCGCGGUCUCUGGCAUCAUCAUCAUCAUCAGGAACAGGUGGCAGCCAUUACGAAGAUCAGCUGGGAGGGAGGAGGAGAAGAUGGCGGCUGUGUUAUCGAUGCUGUGGCGGUGCUGGGGUGUCGGAGCAGCAGCAGCUUGAAGACUCACUCCUCGUCCAGCAAGACACAUUCAGAAAAAACUCUCUACAUGAGCAGUGGCAGCAUUGUAGUUGUAGCAGUAGUGGUUGUAGUAGAAGGGAGUACAAUUGUGGUUUAGCAGUUGUAGUAGUAGUCUAGCACUUGUAGCAGUAGUGACCAUGGUUGUAGUAAUAGUGGUAGGGAAUUCAGACAAGACUUGUGUAUAGUGCAGAGUAGGAUGCUCUCGUCGACAUUAUUCUUGAUUGCUAGUCACUUACAGAACACUUCUUCCAAUGAAUCAUGUAACGUAACACUGCAACACUAUACCAGCCAUCCCAGCCCUGCACAGUGCCAGGCUUUGGUGUCAGGUAUAGGCCACAUAAGUAGGCUCUUGCACAAUGACCUUUUAGCUCAUUGGUGGCUCAGUUGGUAUGCUGCCCUCUUGUAAGCAGAUGGCCUGGGUUCGAUUCCUGGCAAUGUGUUAUGGUUUUUCAUGUGUUUGUCUUUAAGAGUUCAGAAGUGUAAUUUGUCUAUAAGAGUUUAGAAGUGUGGAAAUUACAGUUUUCUUCUUAAUUGCUUACACUUACCAUGGAGAUUGAUUUAACUUUCCCUACCUGUGUCUGUCCAUGCAGUAAUGACUUCAGCUUGUCAGGGGCAUUUAGUAAAUCCAAGUCUUGUCCAGUACACGACAGCCUUAUGCAAGAACUAUAUAUGAAAGGGGUACUAUUGCCCUACUCUGCACUCUUUACUUUUACUCUGCACUCAGUAAUGGUGGUAGUGGUAGGCAUCUGACAUUCACCUUUUCCUUAUGGUCUCAGUCUUCAACACACAUGAAGCCUUAUGCAAGAAUUAUAUAUGUAAGGGGUACCAUUGCCCUACUCUGCACUCUAUUAUAUAUUAUUCUAUACAGUAAUAAUGGUGGUAGUGGUAGGCAUUUGACAGCAUUUCUCCCUAUGGUCUCAGUCUUGUCUAACACACAACAGCCUUAUGCAAGGACUAUAUAUGUAAGGGGUGCUAUUACCCUACUCUGCACUCUAUUAUAUAUUAUUAUAUACAGUAAUAAUGGUGGUAGUAGUGGUAGGCAUUUGACAGCAUUUUUCCCUAUGGUCUCAGUCUUCUCCAACACACGACAGCCUUAUGCAAGAAUCAUAUAUGUAAGGGGUACUUUUGCCCUGCUCUGCACUCUAUUAUAUAUUAUUCUAUACAGUAAUAAUGGUGGUAGGCAUUUGACACCAUUUAUCCCUAUGGUCUCAGUCCUUUCUCUCUCUUGGGAAUAUUAAAACUGCUUGCAACACUUUAUUCUUAAAUGUAUUCACAUGUAUACAAACCUUUCCUUCCUCCGUCUCUGAACUUCCAUUUGUAGGCAGUGUGUUUGGUAGGGGGGUCUCUCUCUCUCUCUCUCUCUCUCUCUCUCUCUCUCUCAGCUCACCACAGACCACAGGAUGUCCCCCCCACAGGAUAUUUACAAACCCCACAGACACACCAAAGGACUGCUCUCUCUCGCUCACCUCACCACAGACCGCAGGAUGUUUACAAACUCCACAGACACACCAAAAGACUGCUCUCUCAGCUCACCACAGACCACAGGAUGUCCCCCCACAGGAUAUUUACAAACCCCACAGACACAUCAAAGGACUGCUCUCUCUCACCUCACCACAGAAUGUUUACAAACCCCAGACACACCAAAAGACUGCUCUCUCUCUCUCUCUCUCUCUCUCUCUCUCUCUCUCAGCUCACCACAGGAUGUCCCCCCACAGGAUAUUUACAAACCCCACAGACACACCAAAUGACUGCUCGCUCUCUCUCUCUCCUCACCACAGGAUGUUUACAAACCCCACAGACACACCAAGGGACUGCUCUCUCUCCAAAUACUAACUCCAUUCUUUUUUCAGAUACCCCCAAAAAUGUUAAGCUUCCAAAUAAAGAAACAAAGAAAUUAAAUCUUUAAUCUUAUCCUUUACCUGGAGAGAGAGAGAGAGGAGGGUAAGAGAUCAAUGAAGGAGAGAUGACUGAAGAGAGGAGGGUAAGAGAUGAAUGGAGAGAGAGAGGAGAGAGUAAGAGAUCAAUGGAGAGAGAGAGGAGGAAGAGAAGGAGAGAUGAGAGAAGAGGUGGAAGAGUUAAGGACAUGAGCAGAGGAGAGAGGAGGAAUGCUAGAGAGGUUUUACCAAGUUAGUUAUCUAGUAAACAGAGGAAAUAAAUGUGGCAAAAGGUGACAAUAUAAGACUACAGUAAAUGGAAAGAAGGGAGAGAGAUGACAUUAGGAAGGAGCUCUAAGAAAUAAUAUAAGACAGGUAUAAACAGUAGGCCUAAAGAGAAGGGAGAGAGAUGACAUUAGGAAGGAGCUCUAAGAAAUAAUAUAAGACUGACGUAUAAACAGUAGGCCUAAAGAGAAGGGAGAGAGAUGACAUUAGGAAGGAGCUCUAAGAAAUAAUAUAAGACUGAGGUAUAAACAGUAGGCCUAAAGAGAAGGGAGAGAGAUGACAUUAGGAAGGAGCUCUAAGAAAUAAUAUAAGACUGAGGUAUAAACAGUAGGCCUAAAGAGAAGGGAGAGAGAUGACAUUAGGAAGGAGCUCUAAGAAGUGAUAUAAGACUGAGGUGGAUGGUAAAGAGAAGGGAGAGAGAUGGCUUAUAAAAGGAACUCUAGAAAUAUGGUAAGAGUAUAGGAGAGAGGAUUCACUUAAGGGGGCAAGUGGUCAAGGGAAAGACAGGGAAAAGAGAAAGUAAUGAAUGAAAGAGUAAUACUGGAAAGACUAAGAAGAAUGAAC